UCUACGGGAGGCAGCAGUGAGGAAUAUUGGUCAAUGGACGAGAGUCUGAACCAGCCAAGUAGCGUGAAGGAUGACUGCCCUGUUGGUUGUAAACUUCUUUUAUAUGGGAAUAAAACGUUCCACGUGUGGGAUUUUGUAUGUACCAUAUGAAUAAGGAUCGGCUAACUCCGUGCCAGCAGCCGCGGUAAUACGGAGGAUCCGAGCGUUAUCCGGAUUUAUUGGGUUUAAAGGGAGCGUAGGUGGAUUGUUAAGUCAGUUGUGAAAGUUUGCGGCUCAACCGUAAAAUUGCAGUUGAAUCUGGCAGUCGGGAGUACAGUAGAGGUGGGCGGAAUUCGUGGUGUAGCGGUGAAAUGCUGAGAUAUCACGAAGAACGCCGAGUGCGAAGGCAGUUCACUGGACUGCAACUGACACUGAGGCUCGAAAGUGUGGGUAUCAAACAGGAUUAGAUACCCCUGUAGUC
rnacentral:rRNA from 1 species